rnacentral:tRNA from 1 species
ACUUUCAAAGGAUAAUAGUAAUCCAAUGGUCUUAGGAGCCACAUAUCUUGGUGCAAAUCCAAGUGAAAGUA